UGUGUUACGAUCCCCUACAGUGUCCAAUAGAGUAACACGCUGCACAGGUGUGUAGCCUAGGAGCAAAAGGCCAAACCAAAUAGCCCAGGUGUGUAGUGGGCUCUGCCAUCUAUGCUUGCUUAAGUUACUCUAUGAUGUUUGCACAAUGACGAAAUCACCAAACAAUGCAUUUCUCAGAACAUAGCCCCAUCAUGUAAUGGCAUGAGAGGACACGGGCAGAAUUCUUGGAUGCCCAUUUUGGGGACAGCCACCAUAGUUUGGACAUUAAUACAUUUGGGCACAUGCACAUGAGCACACACAUGCUCACAUGCACAUGGAUGCACACGUAUGCGCGUACCACUCACUCCCGGGCACAUGCUCAUUCCCGGGCACAUACACAGUGGGGCGGGGCAGGAAGGCUGGAUGGGGCCCAGGGGAGUCAGGUGCUGUGGUGCGCUGGGGCUCAGGCCCUUCCAGCAUUCAAACAGAGAGUCUCCUAAGAAAGCAGGGAGCCCACAGGGCAUGGGAUUUGGAAUCUGAGUCAGGGAUUUGAAUCCCAUCUUGUGCCCUGGGCAUGCUAAGUCUCCCUCCUAGUGCAGUGGGUGCCUGCUGCCCAGGCUGCAGGAGCGUUUGAGGAGGCUUGUCAGCCUAUAGGGAACUGCCUGGCGUCCUGCUCAGUGCUGCAGGCUGCAUGAGGGGCCAAUUGAGGACCCCCUAAGCCCAGGAGGGGCAGAGGCCAGGGACCAGAUGCCACAAGUAUCUGUGGGUGGGCUUGGCUGUGAUGAGCAGGACAGGGCUCAGCCAAUGCCCAGGGGCAGAGCCCCCGAGGCACUGAUGACCACAGUGAGGCCAGCGUCAGGCUCUGGGUCUUGGGUCUUGGUGCUGCUCCAGGAGUGGACCCACAUGGCCCCUCAGAUGCUGCUCUGUGACUCCAGGCCUGGGUCAAGCCGACCUCUCUGCUUGUCCCCCCACCUCCCUCUAGGUAACUAGGCCCCAAGAUGUCACAGCAUCAGAAAUACAGAGAAAAAAAAGCAUAGUUAAUACUGCUCCUGCUGGGAAGGCCCACAGCAGGGCGGAUGGUAGUGCACCCAGCAGGUGUGACAGCCCAGUCUCCCCAUCUGCAGGGAAACCCCAUGCCCCCUCAACCCUUACUGCCUGUCACCAGCUGGACCCCGGUCUCUCCUGGCUGCUGUCUCACCUGCCUUCACAUGGUUUCUGGUUCUUUCAUCUUUUCAUUAUAAUUUUUGUUUGGAGAAACUUUAAAAGUAAAAGAAUGUGGGCCAAAAAUAUGUUAACCCAUUCCCACCAGACAUGCAACACUGGGGGGGCUGUUCCUCCCAGGCUCCUUGGGCCCCCCAGCUGCCCAUGACCCCUGGGUGUGCCCAGACAGCAGGGGGGGUGUAGUCCACCCCCACCACGUCCACAGCCCCUGACUCUCGGGUGGGUCUGGGGGCUGCUCGCCCUGGGAGAGAAGCCAUCCCCUCCCGGCGGGGCCAUCUAUCAGGACCUCUCUGACAUCAGCAUUUUCCUCUGUGGCUCUAGCUUCCUGCCUCCUAUCUCUGUCCUCCUGAGAAUGUCCCAUCUGUCCCAUCUUUCCCAUUAGCAGCCCUGUCCCUGAGCCCAGUGCAAGCUCCACAGUGGAGAGGCCACUCAGCAUUGUAAGUGAAUGCUUGUCCUCGUGCCUCCCUCCCCGGGAGCUCUGCCUGGAGCUCCUUCCCGGCUCCGGUGAAGCUGCAGGCAGCAUUUCAUUGCUUUGACCUGUCCCAGGGCACCUUCCUUCUAGAAGGGCGACUUGAAACCUUUUCAUCACAGCACGACAUAUGCCCGGUCUUGCUUUGGUCAUCCAGUUUUAUGUGUCCCAUUUUAUACUCAUUUUCUUCCCCUCAUGUUUUGUUUUUUUCUUUUAACUAAAACGAUCCAUUUAUUGAGUUAAAAGAUUGUAUAUUCAAGACGUUCACUCAGUAUGUGAUCCUGCAUAGUAAACCUCGGGUGAAACAAAGACAACUAUUUUUAUAUAUUUUUAAAAAUUUAGUGGCAUAUAGACUUCUAAUAUUUUGGGGGGGGGGAUAUUCUUUUUUUCUUUAAUUAUGGUAAAAUAUCCAUAAUAUAAAACUGACCACUCGAAUCAUUUCUAAGUGAGCAGUUCAG
rnacentral:lncRNA from 1 species